rnacentral:rRNA from 1 species
UAGGGAAUCUUCGGCAAUGGACGAAAGUCUGACCGAGCAACGCCGCGUGAGUGAAGAAGGUUUUCGGAUCGUAAAACUCUGUUGUUAGAGAAGAACAAGGACGUUAGUAACUGAACGUCCCCUGACGGUAUCUAACCAGAAAGCCACGGCUAACUACGUGCCAGCAGCCGCGGUAAUACGUAGGUGGCAAGCGUUGUCCGGAUUUAUUGGGCGUAAAGCGAGCGCAGGCGGUUUCUUAAGUCUGAUGUGAAAGCCCCCGGCUCAACCGGGGAGGGUCAUUGGAAGCUGGGAGACUUGAGUGCAGAAGAGGGGAGUGGAAUUCCAUGUGUAGCGGUGAAAUGCGUAGAUAUAUGGAGGAACACCAGUGGCGAAGGCGGCUCUCUGGUCUGUAACUGACGCUGAGGCUCGAAAGCGUGGGGAGCAAACAGG